rnacentral:lncRNA from 1 species
AUUAUCCUUCCUGCUGGACAGAAAUUAUCUACACCUAUAACAGAUAAAUAUCUACUAUGUUAACUUUUCUUUCUACAGAGCAGUAAGGUAGAUCAGUACAUACAAAAUCAAUUAAAGAGGAAAGCGCGGUACAUCAUUGCAAGGAAAAUCAUCAGUUUCUUUAGCCUACUCCCAGGUUCUGAUAAUUAUCCUGACAAUCAAACCAUAAGCUGAGAAAAGACAUGUACGAUUUAAGCAGCCCAUGAGGAACACUUCUCCAGUACACAAUUUAUUGCUCUAUCAGUAACAGGCUCUUCUCCCUUCGCUCUGCCCUUCUCUCUCCUGCCACCUUGUGAAGAAGGACAUGCUUGCUUCCACUUCUGUCAUGAUUGUAAGAUUCCCGAGACCCCCCCAGUCACAUGGAACUAAUGAGAAAUAUGUCCAAGUAAA